CUUGUACACACCGCCCGUCACACCAUGGGAGUGGGUUCUGCCAGAAGUAGUUAGCCUAACCGCAAGGAGGGCGAUUACCACGGCAGGGUUCGUGACUGGGGUG
rnacentral:rRNA from 1 species